rnacentral:rRNA from 1 species
ACUGCUCAGUAACACGUGGACAACCUGCCCUUAGGUUGGGUAUAAACCCGGGAAACUGGGUAUAAUACCCGAUAGGUCUCGAUUGCUGGAAUGCAUCGAUAUUUAAAGCUCCGGCGCCUAAGGAUGGGUCUGCGGCCUAUCAGGUAGUAGUGGGUGUAGCGUACCUACUAGCCUACGACGGGUACGGGUUGUGAGAGCAAGAGCCCGGAGAUGGAUUCUGAGACACGAAUCCAGGCCCUACGGGGUGCAGCAGGCGCGAAAACUUUACAAUGCUGGCAACAGCGAUAAGGGAACCUCGAGUGCCAGGUUACAAAUCUGGCUGUCGAGAUGCCUAAAAAGCAUUUCAUAGCAAGGGCCGGGCAAGACCGGUGCCAGCCGCCGCGGUAACACCGGCGGCUCGAGUGGUAACCGUUAUUAUUGGGUCUAAAGGGUCUGUAGCCGGCCGGAUAAGUCUCUUGAGAAAUCUGGCAGCUUAACUGUCAGGCUUUCAGGAGAUACUGUCUGGCUCGAGGCCGGGAGAGGUGAGAGGUACUUCAGGGGUAGGGGUGAAAUCUUGUAAUCCUUGAAGGACCACCAGUGGCGAAGGCGUCUCACCAGAACGGACCUGACGGCAAGGGACGAAAGCUAGGGGCACGAACCGGAUUAGAUACCCGGGUAGUCCUAGCCGUAAACGAUACUCGCUAGGUGUCGGCCACGGUGCGACCGUUGUCGGUGCCGUAGGGAAGCCGUGAAGCGAGCCACCUGGGAAGUACGGCCGCAAGGCUGAAACUUAAAGGAAUUGGCGGGGGAGCAC